UACGUAGGGUGCGAGCGUUAAUCGGAAUUACUGGGCGUAAAGCGUGCGCAGGCGGUGAUGUAAGACCGAUGUGAAAUCCCCGGGCUUAACCUGGGAACUGCAUUGGUGACUGCAUCGCUCGAGUAUGGCAGAGGGGGGUAGAAUUCCACGUGUAGCAGUGAAAUGCGUAGAGAUGUGGAGGAAUACCGAUGGCGAAGGCAGCCUCCUGGGCCAACACUGACGCUCAUGCACGAAAGCGUGGGGAGCAAACGGG
rnacentral:rRNA from 1 species